CCAGACUCCUACGGGAGGCAGCAGUGGGGGAUAUUGCACAAUGGGGGGAACCCUGAUGCAGCGACGCCGCGUGAGUGAAGAAGUAUUUCGGUAUGUAAAGCUCUAUCAGCAGGGAAGAAAGAGACGAAAGUCUUGUGACAGUACCUGACUAAGAAGCCCCGGCUAACUACGUGCCAGCAGCCGCGGUAAUACGUAGGGGGCAAGCGUUAUCCGGAUUUACUGGGUGUAAAGGGAGCGUAGGCGGUUAGAUAAGUCUGAUGUGAAAGCCCACAGCUUAACUGUGGGAUUGCAUUGGAAACUAUAGAACUAGAGUGUCGGAGAGGUAAGUGGAAUUCCUAGUGUAGCGGUGAAAUGCGUAGAUAUUAGGAGGAACACCAGUGGCGAAGGCGGCUUACUGGACGAUGACUGACGCUGAGGCUCGAAAGCGUGGGGAGCAAACAGGAUUAGAUACCCCAGUA
rnacentral:rRNA from 1 species